AAAACUCAAGAAAAGCGUGACACGUUAUUAAAAUCAGAUGUUAGAAAGUUUGAAAUUUAGAAAUUUUAUGUUGAUAAAAUCGGGAGAUAAUAAAGUACUAUUUACUUGAGUUCAACCAGUACCUUACUAAAUAAUAGAUUAAAAUGUACAAAAUGCUUAGAGUGGAGCAAAAUGAAGUUUUAUAUUCAAGAUUUAUGAGGCAGUUGUAGCAAGUUCAUAAGUUCCCUGAUGUAUAAACUGAUGUACCACAGAAGUUGUUUCUACGAAGAUACUGGUGAAAAUUGACUGACCCAUGGGAGUUGUUCUUUUUUGUUGCGCGCUGUGUUAUUCCUUAAUAUUCUUUACUUACAUGGAACUACAACAUACAAUAUACUGCGACGUUAAUUCACUUGAGCGUGUGUUGUAUCAUGAAGUUCCCGGGUAAGUGGUCUGACAUUCCUCACAGUCAUCCCAAAAAGGCACUAUCGCCCUUUCCACCCGUAUAGUUAGACCUAAAAGUGCUGCAGCCUGUAUUUCAUACCUCACCAUUAUUUGACUGCAAGUCUGUUUUGUCAUAGUUAAGUCAAAACUUUUAAGUUUAAGUAUUCUAUACCUUGUCUGUACUUUUAACUGAAAUUACUGCCUAAGCAGUCUUC
rnacentral:misc_RNA from 1 species